GGGUGCUCGAGUGGCAAACGGGUGAGUAACACGUGAGUAACCUGCCCUUGACUUUGGGAUAACUUCAGGAAACUGGGGCUAAUACCGGAUAGGAGCUCCUGCUGCAUGGUGGGGGUUGGAAAGUUUCGGCGGUUGGGGAUGGACUCGCGGCUUAUCAGCUUGUUGGUGGGGUAGUGGCUUACCAAGGCUUUGACGGGUAGCCGGCCUGAGAGGGUGACCGGCCACAUUGGGACUGAGAUACGGCCCAG
rnacentral:rRNA from 1 species